GUGCUCACUUCAGCAGCACAUAUACUAAAACUGGAAUGAUACAGAGAAGAUUAGCAUGGCCCUUGCACAAGGAUGGCAUUGAAAUUUGUGAAGCAUUCCAUAUUUUU
rnacentral:snRNA from 1 species